UUUAGGCCCACGGCGAACGGGUGAGUACAAUCUAGGAACGUCCUUUAAGUCGAGCAUAACCCACCGAAAGGUGGAGUAAUUCUCGAUGUGGCAGCAAUGCUAAAGUCGUAAGACGCUUAAAGUGCGGCCUGGACACCAUCAGCUAGUUGGUAAGGUAAUGGCUUACCAAGGCUAUGACGGUUAGGGGUCCCGAGAGGGAUAACCCCCACACUGGAACUGCGACACGGUCCAGACUCCUACGGGAGGCAGCAGUUUGGAAUUUUGGACAAUGGGCGAAAGCCUGAUCCAGCGACGCCGCGUGGACGAUGACGGCCUUCGGGUUGUAAAGUCCUUUUAGCAGGGAACAAUAUUUUGAGCGUACCUGCAGAAUAAGAGGUUGCUAACUCUGUGCCAGCAGCAGCGGUAAUACAGAGACCUCAAGCGUUAUCCGGAAUCAUUGGGCGUAAAGCGUACCGAUAGGUGGUUUUACAAGUCAGAAGUGAAAUCUCCGAGCUCAACUCGGAAUCUGUCUUUUGAAACUGUAAAACUAGAGGGGCAAAGAGGAAGCUGGAACGAACGGUGUAGUAGUAAAAUGCGUUGAUAUCGUUCGGAACACCAAUAGCGAAGGCAGGCUUCUGGGUGCCACCUGACACUGCUAGGACGAAAGCGUGGGUAGCGAAUGGGAUUAGAUACCCCAGUAGUCCACGCUGUAAACGAUGCACAUUAGGUGCUAGAGAGUAUCGACCCUCUUUAGUGCCAAAGCUAACGCGUUAAAUGUGCCGCCUGGGGAGUACGGCCGCAAGGCUAAAACUCAAAGGAAUUGACGGGGACCCGCACAAGUGGUGGAGCAUGU
rnacentral:rRNA from 1 species